rnacentral:rRNA from 1 species
UACGUAGGGGGGCUAGCGUUGUCCGGAUUUAUUGGGCAUAAAGGGCGCGUAGGCGGCUUGUCAAGUCAGGGGUGAAAUCCGGCAGCUUAACUGUCGAAGUGCCUUUGAUACUGAUGAGCUCGAGGGAGGUAGGGGUAUGCGGAACUUCCGGUGGAGCGGUGAAAUGCGUUGAUAUCGGAAGGAACGCCGGUGGCGAAAGCGGCGUACUGGACCUCUUCUGACGCUGAGGCGCGAAAAGCUAGGGGGAGCAAACGGGG